CCUACGGGUGGCAGCAGUGAGGAAUAUUGGUCAAUGGGCGCGAGCCUGAACCAGCCAAGUAGCGUGAAGGAUGACUGCCCUACGGGUUGUAAACUUCUUUUAUAAAGGAAUAAAGUGAGGCACGUGUGCCUUUUUGUAUGUACUUUAUGAACACGGAUCGGCUAACUCCGGGCCAGCAGCCGCGGUAAUACGGAGGAUCCGAGCGUUAUCCGGAUUUAUUGGGUUUAAGGGGAGCGUAGGUGGGUUGUUAAGUCAGUUGUGAAAGUUUGCGGCUCAACCGUGAAAGUGCAAUUGAUACUGGCAGCCUUGAGUACAGUUGAGGUGGGCGGAAUGCGUGGUGUAGCGGUGAAAUGCUUAGAUAUCACGAAGAACUCCGAUUGCGAAGGCAGCUUACUAAACUGCGACUGACAUUGAUGCUCGAAAGUGUGGGUAUCAAACAGGAUUAGAUACCCCGGUAGUC
rnacentral:rRNA from 1 species